UGACAGAAAAAAAGAAAGCCUACCUUUGA
rnacentral:piRNA from 1 species